AUCUGUAAAAACACUUGUAAUUGACUAUAGUUAUCUUUCUUUGUUGUUUUUUUAAGUGUUUUAUACAGCCAGAAUAUUGUUUUGUUGAGUGAAAAUUGUUUUGUGGCAUAUAUGUGCUUGGUUUUUUCUCUACACAAUUAAACAUUUGAAUGAACAUCUUCUGAGAAGGGUGAUUCCAUACUUUUUGCCAGGGGUUGUAGUAAGAACUCUAGCUGCUGCAUUUUGGACCAUCUUGAGUUUGUUUAUUAAGCGUGCAGAACAACCACCCAAUAAUGCAUUACAAUAAUCUAAGUCAUAAACGCAUGCAUUAACAUUUCUACAUUUGACAUUGAGAGCAAAGGUCGUAAUUUAGAUACAUUUUUAUGAUGGAAAAAUGUGGUUUUACAAUGUUAUGGAAAUUUUAAAUUUUGGUAAUUUUGCAUUGAUUGCAUUCAUCUCAUUUAAGUAUCUUUUUCAACAUACAGUGAUCAAGGUAGUAUAUAGUCGAUAGGAACAUUGAGUUCUUUUAUGUAACUUGUGGACGUACCUGCUUUAUGUUGAAAAACAACAUUUAAGGGGAAACAGUUUAACAGGGACAGGCAGUUCUGAGAGUAACCAGACAUCUAUGUUCAGUGCCAUGUAAUGUGCAUGAGAUGUGCAUGAGUUAUGGGGUGAUGUGCACUGAACAACAUGAUUGGCUCAAAGUCCUAAUCUGUCCUUCAAUUUAUCUUUUUACAUACUAUAAAAAGUGGGCUGUGAGUCUAUGUGUUAUCUCUUUGCACACAUACUCAAGCUGUGUCUAAACCAGAUCAUUCUCUGCAGAGAAUUAAAGCAAUACAAAGACAAAACUCUGUUUGGUUUUUCAUUCUCAGUCUCUAAAAAUUGCUAUCAAAUAGCACACCUAGGUUCCUAACUGAUGACGUUCUAGAUCAUUACAUGCAGAGGAUUUUGGUCCAAUAAUUAAAACCUCUGUUUUUUUCAGUCUCAAUCGAACAUGGAGGGGAAUACGAUGUCAAAUGACACAAGACACUUUUGUAGUGAAAGAGAAGGUUUUCCUCAAUGCUGUACGCUCCAACAAGACAUAUAUGUUCAAGAAGAAACCUGAAGGUGUCCCCAGAACACUGAACAGUUUUUUUUCUCUGCACCUGCCUUUACUAACAGGCAAGUUAACCAUCCUUCAUCCCGCUUCUCGUUUUAACUGUUCCUGUGGUGUUGAGCAACUACAAUUCCUGUUAAUCCUAUAAUUUUUUAUUAUAAUUUAUUUAAAGUAAAUAAAUUGUAAUGAAAAAUAAAUAAAAUUAAAUAG
ensembl:lncRNA